AGUGAACGCUGGCGGUAGGCCUAACACAUGCAAGUCGAACGGCAGCACAGUGAGAGCUUGCUCUUACGGGUGGCGAGUGGCGGACGGGUGAGGAAUACAUCGGAAUCUACUUUUUCGUGGGGGAUAACGUAGUGAAACUUACGCUAAUACCGCAUACGACCUACGGGUGAAAGCAGGGGAUCUUCGGACCUUGCGCGAUUGAAUGAGCCGAUGUCGGAUUAGCUAGUUGGCGGGGUAAAGGCCCACCAAGGCGACGAUCCGUAGCUGGUCUGAGAGGAUGAUCAGCCACACUGGAACUGAGACACGGUCCAGACUCCUACGGGAGGCAGCAGUGGGGAAUAUUGGACAAUGGGCGCAAGCCUGAUCCAGCCAUACCGCGUGGGUGAAGAAGGCCUUCGGGUUGUAAAGCCCUUUUGUUGGGAAAGAAAAGCAGCAGGUUAAUACCCCGCUGUUCUGACGGUACCCAAAGAAUAAGCACCGGCUAACUUCGUG
rnacentral:rRNA from 1 species